AACGGUCUAUACCUGCGGUACCUGCGGAAGGAUCAUUAAUGAGAAGCUGCCCCUCGUGGGUAGACCUCCCACCCUCUGUGAACUUACCUUUGUUGCUUUGGCAGGCCCGUCCUCUGGACCGCCGGCUUCGGCUGGCCCGUGCCUGCCAGAGGAUUCCAAACCCUGUCUGUCAGUGUUGUCUGAGUCUAUAUGAAAUCGUUAAAACUUUUAGCAACGGAUCUCUAGAUCGGAAGAGCACAC
rnacentral:misc_RNA from 1 species